rnacentral:rRNA from 1 species
GAUGAACGCUGGCGGCGUGCCUAAUACAUGCAAGUCGAGCGAACAGACGAGGAGCUUGCUCCUCUGACGUUAGCGGCGGACGGGUGAGUAACACGUGGAUAACCUACCUAUAAGACUGGGAUAACUUCGGGAAACCGGAGCUAAUACCGGAUAACAUGUUGAACCGCAUGGUUCAACAGUGAAAGACGGUCUUGCUGUCACUUAUAGAUGGAUCCGCGCCGCAUUAGCUAGUUGGUAAGGUAACGGCUUGCCAAGGCAACGAUGCGUAGCCGACCUGAGAGGGUGAUCGGCCACACUGGAACAGAGACACGGUCCAGACUCCUACGGGAGGCAGCAGUAGGGAAUCUUCCGCAAUGGGCGAAAGCCUGACGGAGCAACGCCGCGUGAGUGAUGAAGGUCUUCGGAUCGUAAAACUCUGUUAUUAGGGAAGAACAAAUGUGUAAGUAACUAUGCACGUCUUGACGGUACCUAAUCAGAAAGCCACGGCUAACUACGUG